GUCCCUUUAAUAAUAUCACAACAACCUGCAACUUUCUUUCUCUAAAAAAUAUGGCAGAAACAAUUGUCUCUGUUAUUGCUGGGGAACUUUUGAGUAAGGUGAUGUCCCUUACUUCCAAUGAAGUCUCCUUCGGAUGGGGUGUCAAGAAUGAUGUACAAGAGCUUGCUGACACCUUAACCACCAUCAAAGCUGUUCUCUUAGAUGCUGAGGAGAAACAAACCCAAAAUGAGAAGCUGAGAGUUUGGCUGGAAAAGCUUAAAGAGGUUUGCUAUGAUGUUGAAGAUGUUUUGGAUGAAAUUGAGGUGAAAGAUUUGUGUAAGCAAGUGAUGAAUGGUCAAAGCAUUUCAAGAAAGCAAAUUAGAAUAUUUGUCUGAAGAUAUUGGUCGCCUGAGAGCCCUUCGAAGACUAUACAUUUACAAAUGUCCAGGUCUUAUCUCAUUACCACGUGGUGUAAGAAGCCUAAGCUCAUUAGAAGAACUUCGUUUGAAAGAUUGUGUAAGGCUUAAUCUUGAUUUGAGCAUAGGAUCAGAUGAGCAACACAAUCAUGAAGAACUUAAUAGUACAGGGCCUCCCCUUCGAUUGCUUGAAAUCGGUAAUUUACCACAAUUGGUGAAAUUGCCGCAAUGGCUUCUUCGCUGUUCGACAAACACGCUGCAAACCUUGCGUAUUGGUAAUUGUUCCAACUUGAAGGCACUACCAGAGUCAAUGCAAAAACUUCAAGCUCUUCGGGUUUGGAAUUGUCCUGAAUUGUCAUCUCUACCCAAGGAUAUCAAUCAUCUCAUCGCUUUGAGAGAACUAAUAAUUGAAGACUGUCGUCAACUGACGGAAAGAUGCAAACCAGAAGCAGGUGAAGAUUGGCCCAAGAUUGCUCAUAUCCCGAACAUUAAACUUGACGGAGAGAUUAUCAAGUCAACCGAAAAUUAGGGAAAACUUGAAUUAGAUGUAUGAGUUUUCAAUCUCAUAAUUAAAUUCUUCCAUUUCCAUUGAAAUAGCCUAAUUUGGAACACUAAUUCCACUGAAUGACAGGAGGGGUUAUUCAUUUUAGUUCUUCAAUGUAUUAAGCAUUGGUGUGGAAUCUAUUGUCUUCAUGUUUUUCAGGACUCAUGGAGAUUCAACCGAAUGGGGCAGUUAGUAAAGCAUAUAUUCCUCUAUAAUUUGAUUCAGAAUAUAACUUCUCAUGAUGUGAUUUGUUUAAAUAAAUGUUUGUGAAUGUACAGAGUUUCAUGUUUAUGUUUUAAUUUUUUUUUGGCAACACAUAUUUAUUCCAAUAAAGUUUCAGAUUUUAUUUCUAUUUAUGUUUCGAUUAUCACAGUUAUAUUUAAAUUCUCUGGUUAAAUUUUAGAGCCUUGCAGACCCUUGACCAUGAAAUUCUAAAAAAUAACUUGAAGUCAAACAUUGUUUUUAUUGUAUGUGUAGAUUAAAGAAAGAAACCAGAUUGGGGAUCCAUAAUAUCUUAGUUUUAACAUCUGGGAUCCUAAAUUUUCUUUUUAAAAGGAGAAAAGAAAAAAUAGUUGUUGAAAUUCUGUUCUGUGAAGGAUUAGAUUAUAGGGUGUUGAUAUUUGUGAUGCAAAACAAUAUCUUUAUGAUUGCCAGUAAUGUCCUUGGAUUGAGCUGUCUUUAGAGAAACUUGGCCUAUAAUAAGAGUGCUCCACACUGUAAGAUGCUUUUUUUUUUCCGGUGUUUGAUUUCUUUUCUAUCAUUUGGUGUACUGAAAUAUUUCCUUUCUUAGCUGAUUCAUUCAAUACUGAUCAAUCUUCCUUUCCCUCUGGAUAUCUUAGAAAUGUUGUGAUCAAUCUUAGCAUGCCAUCUGACAUCGAAGAACAUAAAAGUUUACAGACAAUGUUUCUUGGAAACAAUGGCCUAUCAGGAACCAUUCCUCAGCAAAGGGCUGUAUAUCUUAAAAACAUGAAUCUAGUGGCCAGCAAUUUCAUGUUUUGACAGCUCAAACAUCUGUAUUCUCCCUGGAUUGAAUUGUCUGCAGCGAAAUUUCCCCUGCAAUAAGAAUGCUCCGCGUUAUUCAAGUUUCGCAAUCUAGUGUGGUGGUGAAGAAAUGAAAGUUGAUAGCAUAGUGUAUAAGGCUGAUAACAAUGAUAUUGGUGGAGCUUCUUCUAAUCUACUUGAUGCAGAAAAAGGGGAAAUUAGUGAUGCUGAUUUGUUUUCUGAUCGACAAUCAACAGAUUCAACACACAUGUUCAAAAUACUAGCUCAAAAGUGACUAGCACUGCAGCCCCGAAGCUUUAUCAGUCUUCAAGGCAAUCCCCUGCAUCACUUUGAUAUUAUGAACUUAGUCUGGAGAAUAGACCUUACAAUGUGAGCUUGUCCUUUGUUGAGGCAACCCUUUUGGUAAUCAAGGCUCACAAACAUGGAUGAGUCUUGGAAGGCAUUUUUAUAUCUAUGUUCAGGGAACUCUAUAGUAAAUAAAAAUUUGGCAUAUCAAAAGAAGCAGGUGGAAAUAAGAAAGCAGUGACAAAGAAAUGUAAGAUAAGAAGAAAUAAUGAUGUUGCAAAAGGCAAGUGUCCAAGGGAUUUUUGAAAUAAUAACAGUUGAAGUCUUAUAAGUCAAGUUUGUUCAAGAGAUAUGAUUUAUGAUAAUAGAUCUACAACUAAAGGAUACGCAUUCGUUGGAUGGACGAUAUCUAUGAAGCAACUUUCACUAGGAUCCUACCAAAGGAAUAGUCAGCUUGUUAAUGAAAUAGCUACCAUAUCUGUAGAGCAACAUCACAAUCUUCUUAUUAUCCGGUUGCUACAUUCAGGGAACUUUACACCUCCGUGUAAAUUAGUAUCUUGAAAAACAAAGGCCUUGAUCAAGUAUCCUUUUGUAUGAAGAUGCUAAUUGAUGAUCAAUCUUAGUUUAAAAUUUCUAUUGUGCU